AACGUAGGAGGCUAGCGUUAUCCGGAUUUACUGGGCGUAAAGCGCGUGCAGGCGGUUCUGUAAGUUGGGUGUGAAAUCUCCUGGCUCAACUAGGAGGGGUCGUCCAAAACUACAGGGCUUGAGGGCAGGAGAGGGAAGUAGAAUUCCCGGUGUAGCGGUAAUAUGCGCAGAUAUCGGGAGGAAUACCAGUGGCGAAGGCGGCUUCCUGGCCUGUACCUGACGCUCAGACGCGAAAGCUAGGGGAGCGAACGGGAUUAGAAACCCCCGUAGUCC
rnacentral:rRNA from 1 species